CUCUGGGGACACUCAUAGUACUCACUCUCCUUCUUCUUUUUUUUGGGUUUUUCGAGACAGGGUUUCUCUGUGUAGUCCUGGCUGACCUGGAACUCACUGUGUAGACCAGGCUGGCCUCGAACUCAGAAAUCUGCCUGCCUCUGCCUCCCUAGUGCUGGGAUCAAAGGCGUUCACCACUACGCCCGGCUCAAGUACUCACUCUCCUUAUGUGAGGUCAUGCUGGACACUAGUCUCCCCUCCCCCAGCCUGAAACCUGCUUGCUCAGGGGUGAAGCUUCCCGCUCAGUCGGUCUGCCAUGCCCACUGCUGGAACCUGCCGCUUUGCUACUGGACCCCGAGAUUAUUUGGCGGGAAUUGGGCCCCCUUCCCCUGCUUCAUAACUGCGUGCGGAAGAGUAAAAUAGAGCUUUGAUCAGAAUGCCUGUCUUAGCUGCAUUUCUUUCUCUCGCCGCCUAGCCCCUCUUCUCUUCCAGGUUUCCAAAAUGCCUUUCCAGGCUAGAACCCAGGUUGUGAUCUAUUGGCCAGACACAACAUUUGGCGAACCAACGCGGGACUGAGAAACGGCAAAGGAUUUUUGGAAGAGGCACUGCUAGCAGGUUUGGAGCUCCAUGGAAGAAGAAAAUAAUUAAAGGAUAAAGGAAAUUCAUACUGGAGAAGGUAUGGGCUAAGCUGAAACAGCGUUAAACCUGAGCACUGGUUCACUUAGGUUCAGCAGUGAAGCUUAACAGGAGCUGGGAACUAUAACAGGAGGUAGGCCAUGGCUCUCCGAAGCUACAUUUUUAGGCAUGAGAAAAGAAAGGGUUUAUUAAAAGGAAAUUAAUAAUCAGGCGGAUUGCAUCAUGAGGGAGGAAAAUGUCCCAAAAAGCAGAGAGAAAUUUCAGGAGUGCCAUGCUUUGUUCUCUCUGGGCCUUAUAGCAGAAGUAGUACUGUGUCCCCUUUUGUGUCUUGUCUAAUGUCUGGUGCACCAAUCUGUUCUCGUGUUCAAUUCGUGUAUGUUCGUGUCCAGUCUGAAUAAAUGUUCUAUGUUUUAUGUUGGAUAAUAAAGAUGGUAUAAAAAACUUUUAUCUGCAAAGCCGAGAGCUGCCACGUGCUUCAGCCAGGAAUCAGACACAUGGCAGGAGGGCCCCUGCUGGAAAAACUGUUUCGUUUUAGGAAAAAAGGGCGAGUGCACAGCCUCUUAGUUUCGGGGUAAAAAAGCUGAUAAAUGAUUUGUGACUAAUGUGUUUGAAAAAUGGUAAAGUGCCUUUUAUUCUAUGAUUGUAGCUACAAAAAUUAAUAUUCUCUGAUUGGUCUAAAAUUAACUGCUUCAUUUGGUUCUUUUUUUAUUGAUAAUGUGCUCUGCAUGUUUUCACAUUCAGCUCAUAAGUUGUUGGUUAAGAUUAAUAAUUGUUACAUUGCUACAGAUGGUUAGUGUUAAAUUUGAUAACUCAAGUUUAGAGUCCUUCCAACACAUGGCAUAAGGCAGGCCAAGAGGCUGGGUCUCUAAAGAUAUUUCUAGUUUAGAUAAUAAUUAAUGUGGUUCUGAAAGAGUAAUUCUAGGCUCUUAGGCCCAGGCUUGGGAAUGUGGCUUUUGUGAUAAAACAGAUAGCGACAUCCCUCCACCCACCCACUUCCGGGGUUCAAAGAGUGUUCAUUCAAAGAAAGUCACCCUGACCCAACCCUGACCAUUGCUGAAAGCUACAAUGCAAAUGUGCUAUCGUUAGGGGCUCUUAGAAACUGUCUUGAGAAAUAACCCUCAUAAUUACCAGGUAUUCCUUGUGACAUUUGUGACUUUACACUUCCUUGUGACUCUUAACUGGUAUUUUUGGUAUUUUCCAACAACGCCCUCCCCACCUCCUUGAGUUGUGGUUUCUUCCUUUAAAUACCCC
rnacentral:lncRNA from 1 species